GCUAGAUAGCAGCUAGCUGAAUGGCCAGAUUAGUUGAUCAUCAGAGGGUCCAGGUGCUUGCUUGAAGCGGGCAGAAAACAUAAAAUCAGAGUCAACACAAUAUCUGCUGGUACCUUGGCUCUUCCUUUCGUUCUUUCAUUCAAAAUGUUUCCUAUCACAGUUCUUUGUAUCUAUCUUGUUGCCCACAGGAGGGUUUUUUAUUGUUAUUAUUGAACCCUCACUAGUGUUCUCAAUGCUCAACAUGUGCCUAAGAUGUAACUAGUUUCCAUUUUCAGGUUGUUCAUUCAAUCACUGCAUAGAAAAUACUUACGUCUUUAGAAUCCUCAAUAUUUAUUCUCACUAUAUGGAUUGGUCGGUCAUUCUAGAGACCAUUCUCCAGCA